GUGAGGAAUUUUCCGCAAUGGGCGAAAGCCUGACGGAGCAAUGCCGCGUGAAGGAUGAAGGCCUAUGGGUUGUAAACUUCUUUUCUUAGAGAAGAAUAUUGACGGUAUCUGAGGAAUAAGCCCCGGCUAACUCCGUGCCAGCAGCCGCGGUAAGACGGAGGGGGCAAGCGUUGUUCGGAAUUAUUGGGCGUAAAGGGCUCGUAGGCGGAUCUGUAAGUCUGGCGUGAAAUCUCCACCGCUUAACGGGGAGCUGCCGCUGGAUACUGCAGAUCUGGAGUUCGGUAGAGGAUCGUGGAAUUUCGGGUGUAGCGGUGGAAUGCGUAGAUAUCCGAAAGAACACCAGUGGCGAAGGCGAAGAUCUGGGCCUGAACUGACGCUGAGGAGCGAAAGCUAGGGGAGCAAACGGGAUUAGAAACCCGAGUAGUCC
rnacentral:rRNA from 1 species